rnacentral:tRNA from 1 species
AUUUAUAUAGUUUAAAAAAAACAUUACAUUUUCAGUGUAAAAUUAACUAACGUUUAUAAGUA